CCUACGGGAGGCAGCAGUGGGGAAUAUUGCACAAUGGGGGAAACCCUGAUGCAGCGACGCCGCGUGAGUGAAGAAGUAUUUCGGUACGUAAAGCUCUAUCAGCCGGGAAGAAAAUGACGGUACCUGACUAAGAAGCCCCGGCUAACUACGUGCCAGCAGCCGCGGUAAUACGUAGGGGGCAAGCGUUAUCCGGAUUUACUGGGUGUAAAGGGAGCGUAGACGGCAGCGCAAGUCUGGAGUGAAAUCCCAUGGCUUAACCAUGGAACUGCUUUGGAAACUGUGCAGCGAGAGUGCAGGAGAGGUAAGCGGAAUUCCUGGUGUAGCGGUGAAAUGCGUAGAUAGUAGGAGGAACACCAGUGGCGAAGGCGGCUUACUGGACUGUAACUGACGUUGAGGCUCGAAAGCGUGGGGAGCAAACAGGAUUAGAUACCCCUGUAGUC
rnacentral:rRNA from 1 species